UAAACAUUUGAUUCUUCAAUCAAAAUAACAAUGUAAUAAUCUGUAAAUAAAUUGAAUUCAUGUUUCACACGAAGGCCCGUUCACGUUUUGUGUCAAAUCGGAUCCCGUUUGCUACAGUUUUCGCGCACUACACGAGGUGACUUGGCAGCACAAAGCUAUGGAAAAUGCAGGAGACUCAGAAGGGCUAGUCCCAAAUGGUCCUGUUAGACAUGGAAAUCCUAUCCAAUCCAGUUUAUGCCUGACAAUUAUGAACGGGAUCAAGAGACGUUGAGCUUGGCAGAGGAGAAAUGUGAUCUUCAAAUUGCAGAAUCAGAGGGGGAGUCUCUGAGGCAUUCCAAAGUGAGGAAGGGGAUUCAGAUGUAGUAUCUGUGAGAAGGUACUAAAAUGUAAAGGUGGAUAUACUGUUCAUCAGCAGAUGACUUGAAGUGAAAAGAAACGGAGACCAUUCAGGCAUUUCUACAGAUUUCCAAGCAUGAAUGCUCUUAUGUUCAGCUGAGAACAAAAAUGAUGAACAAGUAGAAAAUACAGCAGCAAAGGACAAGGACGAGAUGGCACACAUUUUAAG